rnacentral:rRNA from 1 species
GACGAACGCUGGCGGCGUGCUUAACACAUGCAAGUCGAACGGAAAGGCCCUGCUUUUGUGGGGUGCUCGAGUGGCGAACGGGUGAGUAACACGUGAGUAACCUGCCCUUGACCUUGGGAUAACUUCAGGAAACUGGGGCUAAUACCGGAUAGGAGCUCCUGCUGCAUGGUGGGGGUUGGAAAGUUUCGGCGGUUGGGGAUGGACUCGCGGCUUAUCAGCUUGUUGGUGGGGUAGUGGCUUACCAAGGCUUUGACGGGUAGCCGGCCUGAGAGGGUGACCGGCCACAUUGGGACUGAGAUACGGCCCAGACUCCUACGGGAGGCAGAAGUGGGGAAUAUUGCACAAUGGGCGGAAGCCUGAUGCAGCAACGCCGCGUGCGGGAUGACGGCCUUCGGGUUGUAAACCGCUUUCGCCUGUGACGAAGCGUGAGUGACGGUAAUGGGUAAAGAAGCACCGGCUAACUACGUG